rnacentral:rRNA from 1 species
UCGGGAAUAUUGCGCAAUGGAGGAAACUCUGACGCAGUGACGCCGCGUGCAGGAAGAAGGUUUUCGGAUUGUAAACUGCUUUAGACAGGGAAGAAAAAAUGACAGUACCUGUAGAAUAAGCUCCGGCUAACUACGUGCCAGCAGCCGCGGUAAUACGUAGGGAGCAAGCGUUAUCCGGAUUUAUUGGGUGUAAAGGGUGCGUAGACGGAGAAGCAAGUUAGUUGUGAAAUCCCUCGGCUUAACCGAGGAACUGCAACUAAAACUACUUCCCUUGAGUGCUGGAGAGGAAAGUGGAAUUCCUAGUGUAGCGGUGAAAUGCGUAGAUAUUAGGAGGAACACCAGUGGCGAAGGCGACUUUCUGGACAGUAACUGACGUUGAGGCACGAAAGUGUGGGGAGCAAACAGGAUUAGAUACC